UUGCAGCUCCUCCCAGAACGGUGCAUGUAAACAACAGAAGCAGAGCUCACACAACUGGGAAAUAUUACCCAAAGAAACACUGGGUAUUGUUAAUUAAGUUUUAAUGUGUGUUAAAAGCGCUCCAAAUUCACGUUUUUAAAAUGAUGAGAGGAAGUCGGUGCGAUCAAAGAGCGAACAGCAGCCAUCAGAGAAAAAAGAUUGGAGUCGACCUACGGUAGUGCUGUAUUGGAAAGGGACGAAAGCAACCAGAUGGUUCUAAUGACGAAACAAGCAUGCGCAGCGAUCCCUGCCAGAAACAAUUUCCUGGAAGCCAAAGCUCACCUGCAUGAAGGCCCGCUUCUGCGCCAUUCAUGAACAUGUGGAAGAAGUCACCUGACUAAAUGAGUUGACGCUCACGAUUGACAACAUCCUCUGAGGGCACAAGUGCACCUUUAUUGACUGACCAUGUUGGUCGCCAAUCUACACCCUGAGGAGGAUGCGUUUCCCCCUUGAGCCUGGUUCCUUCUGAGGUUUCUCCCCAUCUGCCACAGGGAUUUUUUCCUUGCCACUGUUGCUUUAGGCUUGCUCCUGUGGGGGUUUAGGCUAGGGUUACUGUGAAGCGUAUUGUAACAAUAUCUGUGAAAUACGCUAUAUAAAUAAAAUUUGAUUGAUUGAUUGAUUGCUUACCGAACAGCAGCAAAGUACUGAUGUUAUUCAGACACUUACCGUCUCACUGCGGCAUAGGGAGUGUGCUGGGUAAUCCAGUUACACCUAACUGAGCCUGAGACUGCAGAUUUCCCUUUGAAAGGUCCUACAGGCAGCACAAAGGUCUCAUAAUUUGUGCCCACGGAGGUUGCAGGAUGAAAUAGCACUGAAAACAAUGUGGUAGUCAAACAUAGGUUGAUUCAUUAAAUACUGUUCUUCAGUCGUACGCAGGCUGAUUUAUUAAAUACUGUUCCGCAGUCAUACGCAGGCUAAUUUUUAAAAUAUUUACUCAGUCAUAUGCAGCUGAUUUAUUAAAUACUGUUCUUCAGGCAUACAUAGGGUGAUUUAUUAAUUACUGUUUCUGGCUUUACACUGCACUAGCCAUCUUUCUCUGCUCACUGGCCGAUGGAAGUGAAAGGAUUUGUGGGAUGGAGACGGUGGAUGAACGUGCACAAUGUGCGCCUGCUGUGGGGGGCUGGGAUUCAUAAGGAUGCUGCAUAGAGACUGUGAUUUAUACAGGUGUUGCAUAGAGACUGUGAUUCAUACAGGUGCUGCAUAGAGACUGGGAUUCAUACAGGUGCCGCAUAGAGACUGGGAUUCAUACAGGUGUCGCAUAGAGACUGGGAUUCAUACAGGUGUCGCAUUGAGACUGGGAUUCAUACCGGUGCACUGAAUAGAGGCAGAGACAUACAGGCACGCUAAACAGAUGGAGGGAGUUAGAAAAGCACUGACAGCUCCGUUUUUAUUCUCAAUCAUUAUCUGUAUAAUAAGAGCCCAUUUAUUAUACUCUAUGAGCAGUGGGGAAUGCAGCAGCAGCGCCUGUUCCUUCCUCCCUUCACCAGGGGUGUUUCCUUAAGAACAUCUGACGGCUCCUACUAACAGAAAUAAAAGCUGGGCGUUUUUCGGAUGCUGAGCAGGCACUGUGUUCCGCUUGAGACAGGCAGAAUAAGGCAUGCCUGUUUAUGUCAGGCAUGGCACCCAUCAAGCCCAAACUCACCUGCAUGGCAAAAUGUCCGCCCACAGGAAUUUGGCAAUUGGAUACAACCUGGGCUCACGCCACAUUCUCCUCACUGCAUGGUUUCCAUAGCAAUUCUAAUGCCAGUUCAUCAUGGCUGACCAUGCCACCUGUUUGGUCUCUAGACAGGACAGAAAGACAACUGGUCAGUAAAUGGUUAAUUAACAGACAUUUCAAAAUCAGGUUUGUUUUUUGCCACCAUGAAGUGCAAAUGGAUUUUGCUCUUUUCCUCUCACGCUCACUACCACACAGAUCAGGGAGGUAGAAGGCAUUGUUCUUCCUAUGCUCUUCAGUCACCUGUGCAGUGUGAUAAGACCUUGAGUUCCAUAACGCUUAAGUUUAAAAAGCACCAACCACCUAAACAGGGAGAGUGAUAGUCAAGGGCCUCACAAAUCACAGAUAUUUGAGUUUGUACGCACAUAUUAAAAAGCAUUACUGAUUGAAUGUGUUGUAGGGGUGAUCUAGGAGUGGUAGAAGAUGAAAUUCAUUAUGCAACAACUGAUUAAAAUGUCAAGAAAACAACUCAUUUAUCCUUGCAAGCCUAUCAGAAAAUGUUCAUUGGUUUUUGAAAGACUUUAAUCUUGCAGUCUUUGUUCGAGGUGCCUGAUUAAAGUACCUGUAUGUGUCAUAUAUUCCUUUUCUGUGAGUUGUGGUUUAUUUAGCUGUGUUAAACUGUUCAUGGUGAUCUGCAUGUUCUGUAAGCCCAUUGAUUACAGUAAGUAGUGGUUUUGUACUGAUAUUUAUCACUGAUAUUGAUGAUUAAUAAGGACAUGAGCAUUUUACUCACCCAUGAGGGGCAAUACAUAAGACAGUAAAUCUUUAAAUUGUCUGUUCCUGCAAGACCAUACAAGGACAGUAAAUUCUUAAGUUUAUUCAGCAUUGAAUAACCACCUCUUUUUCAAAUCUAUCAAACCGAUUACAGAAGUUAUAGACGAUGGUCAUCGGCUUCAACCCUAAAAGCUGUGACCCAUUGCAGAGCCAAAGCAGAGUUACCUGGGCACAGAUGGGACCCAUCUGCUCUUCUGCAGGGAUGCCAUGUAACAGAUUUCAACAAACCAAUCAGGAGGCAAUGGUUUUUGGUGUUGCCAGGCAACCAGAAGGCACUGGAAAUAUACUUUCCUACUCAAACUCUUACACCUGGGGGGUGGUAGUGAGGAUACACUGAAAGUUGGUUUUAGAAACUUCUGCCAUGCAUCUCUUCAGUGCAAAGUGAAGGAACAGCAGGGGCAGGAAGUGAAGCGGAAAGAUCAUGUGAUGAGGGUAAGGGUGUGUGGCAUGAGGUUCCCAUCAAACGUCUGGCCUUCAGGACAUCCAUCAGUGAUGGCCUGAAUCAUUCCAUAGAAAACAACAGUGCACACUGCACUGUCAGAUGCAGCACAUGCACAUACUGCACUGUCAGGGGUAUAGCAUGCACAUUGCACAUUGCAGUCAGACAAGCAGUGCAUGCACACACACUGCACUAUCAGACAUGCAGCGCAAGCACACACUGCUAUCAAACAUGCAGUGCAUGCACACACUGCGCUAUCAGACAUCCGGUGCAUGCACACACACACACACCGCUAUCAGACAUGCAGUGCAAGCAUACACUGCUAUCAAACAUGCAGUGCAUGCACACACACUGCGCUAUCAGAUAUGCAGUGCAAGCACAUACUGCACUAUCAGACAUGCAGUGCAAGCACACACUGCUAUCAAACAUGCAGUGCAAGCACACACUGCUAUCAAACAUGCAGUGCAUGCACGCACUCACUGCUAUCAAACAUGCAGUGCAUGCACGCACACUGUGCUAUCAGACAUGAAGUGCAUGCACACACACUGCGCUAUCAGACAUGCAGUGCAAGCACACACCGCUAUCAAACAUGCAGUGCAUGCACACACACACGCACUGCGCUAUCAGACACAAAGUGCAUGCACACACUGUGCUAUCAGACAUGCAGUGCAUGCACACACUGUGCUAUCAGACAUGCAGUGCAUGCACACGCACACUGCGCUAUCAGACAUGCAGUGCAUGCACACGCACACUGCGCUAUCAGACAUGCAGUGCAUGCACACGCACACUGCACUAUCAGACAUGCAGUGCAUGCAUACACACUGCCCUAUCAGACGCAGAGAGUGCACAUGCCGGGUGGUAACGUCCAUCCGGUGUGGCACAGCUGGGCUGAUCAUGUCCUUUGGCUGCACUCUGAUACUGAGGGAACUCAAGGUUGGUCCUCCUCCCUGUUGGUUUGGAUUUUGCAUCGAAGUUAAAGUCUGAACAUCAAGUUGACUCUGAGUGCUCUAACUGUCCCACACGUAUUGACUGGUCUAGAGGAAAUGGGCUGCUUCCAUCACCAGCCCCGCCCAAAUGAGUACCACUUUUAACAUCCCACCCAACCCCCCACACAGUCUGCCCCAGACUCCCCCUCUGGCGUCAGUAAGGGAGGUGGUAGAAGAGGGUACUGAACCGUGCAAUGCUGCUGUCCCAGAAUACUGUGCCUGCAGCAAUGCAGCACAGCCCAUUUAAAAGCAUGUGACUGAUGCAGAUGUAGGCACGCAUGGCCAGAGCAGUCCCCACAAGCCAUAUGGACCUGCCCUGCACACACACACACAUGCACACUCACGCUACUCACCCCACUGCAUGUGCGUGCACACGUGCACAUGCACACACACACAUAUGCACACUCACGCAACUCAAUAGUAUUCUGCCGUCUUUGUUCACGGCUCCUAGUAUUCUGUCAAUAAUAAAUAACUGCCUAGUAAAUGGCUUUGUUCCAUCCUGUUUUAAACACGCAGUGGUCCACCGUCUUGUUAAAAAGGCCAACCUAGACCCGGCAGUUUUUAACAAUUUCCAACCCAUUUCUAAACUGCCAUUUUUAUCAAAGAUUCUGGAAAAGGUUGUUUUUUCAGUUUUCUCCCCAUUUAAAUGACAAUUACAUUUUGGAAACAUUUUAGUCAGGAUUUAGGCCACACCAUAGCUCUGAGUCGGCUCUCCUUAAGGUGUCUAAUGACUUACACUUGUCCAUUGAUUCAGGAAGCUGUGCUAUUUUAAUUCUGUUGGAUCUUAGCGCUGCUCUUGACAGUUGAUCACACUAUUCUCUUGGACCACCUUAAGCAUGGUUGGUUGGUAUCUAGGGUACUGCCUUACAAUGGUUUGCAUCCUACUUAAAUAAUAGAACAUUUUCUGUUAAAAUAGGGAACUCUUCUUCUUCCACGGCACCUAUCACUUGUGGAGUACCUCAAGGUUCUAUUUUAGGUCCUAUUUUAUUUUCUCUGUAUAUGCUCCCCCUUGGUUCUGUUUUUCAUAAGCAUAGAAUUUCCUACCACUGUUACGCUGAUGACACACAGCUGUACCUGCCGCUGAAACCCGGUGAUGAUCUUUCCAUUAAGUCUGUCCUUGAUUGCUUUGAGGACAUUAAAAGUUGGAUAGUGAAAAACCUUCUCCAGCUUAACAAGAAAAAGACGAAGGUUAUCAUAUUUCGUCCUCCUGACUCCACCAGAGGUUUAGCCACCAACCUAGGUGCUGUCCUCAAAUCUGCAUACGUGUGCAAAAAAUCUUGGUGUCAUCUUUGAUUCAGCCCUAAAAUUUGACAAACAAAUCAACUCUGUUGUGCAUGGUAGCUUCUUCCAGCUUAGAGCCAUUGCAAAGCUAAAAUCUUUCCUCUCAUUUAAGGAUCUGGAGAUUGUCUCACAUGCCUUCAUUUCCUCCCGUAUUGAUUACUGUAAUUCCCUUUACAUGGGAGUCAGUCAGUCAUCCCUAUCUUGGCUGCAGUUAGUGCAAAAUGCAGCUGCUAGGCUCCUGACUAGCACUAGGAUGAGGGACCACAUCUCCUCUAUAUUGGCCUCUCUUUACUGGCUGCCUUUCAAAUACAGAAUCGGGAAGGUUUUAUUAUUUGUUUUGAAAGCACUAUAUGGUUUGGCACCACAUUAUAUCUCUGACCUCCUUUGCCCCUAUUCCACCUUCAGGCCUCUCAGAUCCUCUGACCAAUUGCUCCAGUCUGUUCCUCGGUCCCAGUUAAAAACCAAGGGCGAUCGUGCCUUCUCCAAUGCUGCCCCAAGGCUCUGGAAUAGUCUACCAUGUUCUAUUAGGUUUUCCCACUCCAUUGACUCUUUUAAAUCCCACAUAAAAACACACCUUUUUACAUUGGCGUAUUAGUCUUAAUGCUUGGCAUGUGUUGUGUCUUUGUGUAUUGUAUUUUAUACCUUUUAUUUUAUUUAUUUUAUGCAUCUUUUUAAUUUUCAUUGUACAGCACUUUGGCCAACUUCUGUUGUUUUUAAAUGUGCUUUAUAAAUAAACUUGACUUGACCUGAA